CUACGGGCCGCUGCAGUGAGGAAUAUUGCACAAUGGGGGGAACCCUGAUGCAGCAACGCCGCGUGGAGGAUGACGCAUUUCGGUGUGUAAACUCCUUUUAUAUGUCAAGAAAAUGACGGUAGCAUAUGAAUAAGCACCGGCUAACUCCGUGCCAGCAGCCGCGGUAAUACGGAGGGUGCAAGCGUUACUCGGAAUCACUGGGCGUAAAGGACGCGUAGGCGGGGUGGAAAGUCAGGUGUGAAAUCCUACAGCUUAACUGUAGAACUGCACUUGAAACUUCUAAUCUAGAGUAUGGGAGGGGGGGAUGGAAUUAGUGGUGUAGGGGUAAAAUCCGUAGAUAUCACUAGGAAUACCUAAAGCGAAGGCGAUCUCCUGGAACAUUACUGACGCUAAGGCGUGAAAGCGUGGGGAGCAAACAGGAUUAGAUACCCCGGUAGUC
rnacentral:rRNA from 1 species